rnacentral:rRNA from 1 species
CAGCACAGAGAAGCUUGCUUCUCGGGUGGCGAGUGGCGAACGGGUGAGUAACAUAUCGGAACGUACCGAGUAGUGGGGGAUAACUGAUCGAAAGAUCAGCUAAUACCGCAUACGUCUUGAGAGAGAAAGCAGGGGACCUUUGGGCCUUGCGCUAUUCGAGCGGCCGAUAUCUGAUUAGCUAGUUGGUGGGGUAAAGGCCUACCAAGGCGACGAUCAGUAGCGGGUCUGAGAGGAUGAUCCGCCACACUGGGACUGAGACACGGCCCAGACUCCUACGGGAGGCAGCAGUGGGGAAUUUUGGACAAUGGGCGCAAGCCUGAUCCAGCCAUGCCGCGUGUCUGAAGAAGGCCUUCGGGUUGUAAAGGACUUUUGUCAGGGAAGAAAAGGCUGUUGCUAAUAUCAGCGGCUGAUGACGGUACCUGAAGAAUAAGCACCGGCUAACUACGUGCCAGCAGCCGCGGUAAUACGUAGGGUGCGAGCGUUAAUCGGAAUUACUGGGCGUAAAGCGGGCGCAGACGGUUACUUAAGCAGGAUGUGAAAUCCCCGGGCUCAACCCGGGAACUGCGUUCUGAACUGGGUGACUCGAGUGUGUCAGAGGGAGGUAGAAUUCCACGUGUAGCAGUGAAAUGCGUAGAGAUGUGGAGGAAUACCGAUGGCGAAGGCAGCCUCCUGGGACAACACUGACGUUCAUGCCCGAAAGCGUGGGUAGCAAACAGGAUUAGAUACCCUGGUAGUCCACGCCCUAAACGAUGUCAAUUAGCUGUUGGGCAACUUGAUUGCUUAGUAGCGUAGCUAACGCGUGAAAUUGACCGCCUGGGGAGUACGGUCGCAAGAUUAAAACUCAAAGGAAUUGACGGGGACCCGCACAAGCGGUGGAUGAUGUGGAUUAAUUCGAUGCAACGCGAAGAACCUUACCUGGUCUUGACAUGUACGGAAUCCUCCAGAGACGGAGGAGUGCCUUCGGGAGCCGUAACACAGGUGCUGCAUGGCUGUCGUCAGCUCGUGUCGUGAGAUGUUGGGUUAAGUCCCGCAACGAGCGCAACCCUUGUCAUUAGUUGCCAUCAUUCAGUUGGGCACUCUAAUGAGACUGCCGGUGACAAGCCGGAGGAAGGUGGGGAUGACGUCAAGUCCUCAUGGCCCUUAUGACCAGGGCUUCACACGUCAUACAAUGGUCGGUACAGAGGGUAGCCAAGCCGCGAGGCGGAGCCAAUCUCACAAAACCGAUCGUAGUCCGGAUUGCACUCUGCAACUCGAGUGCAUGAAGUCGGAAUCGCUAGUAAUCGCAGGUCAGCAUACUGCGGUGAAUACGUUCCCGGGUCUUGUACACACCGCCCGUCACACCAUGGGAGUGGGGG